rnacentral:lncRNA from 1 species
AGUGACGCCAUCAGCCGUCGCCUGAGCCGUGGCGCGCGGGUGGCCGAAAGGCGAAAGUGAGAUUUCAAGGGCCGGGUCUGGGGCCCCGCGGGCGCGCAGUGCUGCGGCGUGUGGGGAGUACGGGGAGGCUGGAGAGGAGCCGGCCCCGGGCAGUGUGAGGUGCGGAAGCGCGGUCCAGACACUUUGCUGACGGGAGGCCGGUCCGCCAGAUCCGGGAGGUGGGGCCUCGUUCUGGACUGCUAUAAGAAACAGAGGCAAAUGCAGGUUAAGGAACCUCACAGUAAGGGAUAAAACUCAUAUUUUAACCUGAUCUGCCUGAUUCUGGAGCCUGCACCAUCAUUCCAUUGUCGUGCUUGCCACAUGUCUCUUUGAGGCUUGCUAAAAUUGAUAUCCAUGAGUUCUAUCAAUUCUGGGACAGAGAACAAAUUGUGUUCUGUAAGGAUGGAGGGACAGCGAGGAAUUUGCCAAGGUAAGUGGCACCUUGUGUAUGGCACCUGGCCUUCCGCAGGUGAUACACUUUCUCAUUUAUAGUCUCUGAAUGUCUGUACAUUGAGAUGUUAAUUAUGCAUCCAUGCGGCAAGUAGAAAAGCAUUUUUGGUAUAAUUUUAGUGAAAAAGCUAAAGCAUAACAUUUUGUCUAUUAUGAAAGCAAUAAUUUCAACUACGCAUGAAUAUGGGCACAAUAAUAAGGAAACA